rfam:Operophtera brumata OBRT01_Sc03088, whole genome shotgun sequence.
GGGGAUAUAGCUCAGUGGUAGAGCAACCGACUGCAGAUCGGUAGGUCCCCGGUUCAAACCCGGGUGUCCCCU